rnacentral:rRNA from 1 species
GACGAACGCUGGCGGCGUGCUUAACACAUGCAAGUCGAACGGAAAGGCCCUGCUUUUGUGGGGUGCUCGAGUGGCGAACGGGUGAGUAACACGUGAGUAACCUGCCCUUGACUUUGGGAUAACUUCAGGAAACUGGGGCUAAUACCGGAUAGGAGCUCCUGCUGCAUGGUGGGGGUUGGAAAGUUUCGGCGGUUGGGGCUGGACUCGCGGCUUAUCAGCUUGUUGGUGGGGUAGUGGCUUACCAAGGCUUUGACGGGUAGCCGGCCUGAGAGGGUGACCGGCCACAUUGGGACUGAGGUACGGACCAGACUCCUACGGGAGGCAGCAGUGGGGAAUAUUGCACAAUGGGCGGAAGCCUGAUGCAGAAACGCCGCGUGCGGGAUGACGGCCUUCGGGUUGUAAACCGCUUUCGCAUGUGACGAAGCGUGAGUGACGGUAAUGGGUAAAGAAGCACCGGCUAACUACGUG